AGUCAUGGCGGCUGUGCGCGGGGCACCUUCGGGUGCGCCGGGUUCCUGGAUCUCCGGUUGACCAGCCUGCGUACAGUCGCCUCCCUU
rnacentral:antisense_RNA from 1 species